AUUGAACGCUGGCGGCAGGCCUAACACAUGCAAGUCGAGCGGAUGAAGGGAGCUUGCUCCUGGAUUCAGCGGCGGACGGGUGAGUAAUGCCUAGGAAUCUGCCUGGUAGUGGGGGAUAACGUCCGGAAACGGGCGCUAAUACCGCAUACGUCCUGAGGGAGAAAGUGGGGGAUCUUCGGACCUCACGCUAUCAGAUGAGCCUAGGUCGGAUUAGCUAGUUGGUGGGGUAAAGGCCUACCAAGGCGACGAUCCGUAACUGGUCUGAGAGGAUGAUCAGCCACACUGGAACUGAGACACGGUCCAGACUCCCACGGGGGGGAGAAGGGGGGAAUAUUGGAAAAUGGGGGCAAGCCUGAUCCCGCCAUACCGCGGGGGUGAAGAAGGGCUUCGGGUUGUAAAACCCUUUUGUUGGGGAAGAAAAGGAGCAAGUUAAUACCCCGCUGUUUUGACGGUACCCAAAGAAUAAGCACCGGCUAACUUCGUG
rnacentral:rRNA from 1 species